rnacentral:rRNA from 1 species
UCCGUAGGUGAACCUGCGGAAGGAUCAUUACUGAGUGAGGGCCCUCUGGGUCCAACCUCCCACCCGUGUUUAUUGUACCUUGUUGCUUCGGUGCGCCCGCCUCACGGCCGCCGGGGGGCUUCUGCCCCCGGGUCCGCGCGCACCGGAGACACUAUUGAACUCUGUCUGAAGAUUGCAGUCUGAGCAUAAACUAAAUAAGUUAAAACUUUCAACAACGGAUCUCUUGGUUCCGGCAUCGAUGAAGAACGCAGCGAAAUGCGAUAACUAAUGUGAAUUGCAGAAUUCAGUGAAUCAUCGAGUCUUUGAACGCACAUUGCGCCCCCUGGUAUUCCGGGGGGCAUGCCUGUCCGAGCGUCAUUGCUGCCCUCAAGCACGGCUUGUGUGUUGGGCUCCGUCCCCCCGGGGACGGGUCCGAAAGGCAGCGGCGGCACCGAGUCCGGUCCUCGAGCGUAUGGGGCUUUGUCACCCGCUCUGUAGGCCCGGCCGGCGCCAGCCGACAACCAAUCAUCCUUUUUUCAGGUUGACCUCGGAUCAGGUAGGGAUACCCGCUGAACUUAAGC